rnacentral:rRNA from 1 species
UGGGGAAUAUUGGUCAAUGGGCGAAAGGGUGACCCAGCAACGCCGCGUGGAGGAUGAAGGUCGUAAGAUUGUCAACUCCUGUUAGAGGGGAAGAAUAACUAAGUUUGGAGCUUAGUAUGACUGUACCCUCAGAGAAAGCCCCGGCUAACUACGUG